UGAAAUAUUUUUGUCAGACUAUAGAGUGGAAAUAAUGGACUUGAUGAGGGGUACAAUAGCAUAUGAACUACUGACUGAACCGGGACUAAGUUUUGACAAGGAAGUAUGGGAUGCCCCCCAAUUUCUAGUUUCCCUUGACGCAGCAGAAAAAAAGAUACUUGAAGAGAAAGAAAAGGAAAAGGCAGCAGCUCAAACAAUUAUAAAUUUGGGUGUUCA
rnacentral:lncRNA from 1 species